GAGUUUGAUCAUGGCUCAGAUUGAACGCUGGCGGCAGGCCCAACACAUGCAAGUCGAGCGGAUGACGGGAGCUUGCUCCUUGAUUCAGCGGCGGACGGGUGGGUAAUGCCUAGGAAUCUGCCUGGUAGUGGGGGACGACGUUUCGAAAGGAACGCUAAUACCGCAUACGUCCUACGGGAGAAAGCAGGGGACCUUCGGGCCUUGCGCUAUCAGAUGAGCCUAGGUCGGAUUAGCUAGUUGGUGGGGUAAUGGCUCACCAAGGCGACGAUCCGUAACUGGUCUGAGAGGAUGAUCAGUCACACUGGAACUGAGACACGGUCCAGACUCCUACGGGAGGCAGCAGUGGGGAAUAUUGGACAAUGGGCGAAAGCCUGAUCCAGCCAUGCCGCGUGUGUGAAGAAGGUCUUCGGAUUGUAAAGCACUUUAAGUUGGGAGGAAGGGCAGUAAGUUAAUACCUUGCUGUUUUGACGUUACCGACAGAAUAAGCACCGGCUAACUCUGUGCCAGCCGCCGACGG
rnacentral:rRNA from 1 species